UACAGAGGGGGCAAGCGUUGUUCGGAAUUACUGGGCGUAAAGGGCGCGUAGGCGGCCGCCUAAGUCAGACGUGAAAUCCCUCGGCUCAACCGGGGAACUGCGUCUGAUACUGGAUGGCUUGAGUUUGGGAGAGGGAUGCGGAAUUCCAGGUGUAGCGGUGAAAUGCGUAGAUAUCUGGAGGAACACCGGUGGCGAAGGCGGCAUCCUGGGCCAACACUGACGCUGAGUGAGCGAAAGCCAGGGGAGCAAACGGG
rnacentral:rRNA from 1 species